rnacentral:misc_RNA from 1 species
GAUGAAGAACGCAGCGAAAUGCGAUAAGUAGUGUGAAUUGCAGAAUUCAGUGAAUCAUCGAAUCUUUGAACGCACAUUGCGCCCUUUGGUAUUCCUUAGGGCAUGCCUGUUCGAGCGUCAUUUAAACCUUCAAGCUCAGCUUGGUGUUGGGUGACUGUCCGCUUCACCGCGGACUCGCCUCAAAAUUAUUGGCGGCCGGUACAUUGGCUUCGAGCGCAGCAGAAACGCGAACUCGGGCCCGUCGUAUUGGCUCCCAGAAGCUAUCUUCACAAUUUUGACCUCGGAUCAGGUAGGGAUACCCGCUGAACUUUAGCAUAUCAAUAAGCGGAGGA